rnacentral:rRNA from 1 species
GACGAACGCUGGCGGCGUGCUUAACACAUGCAAGUCGAACGGAAAGGCCUGCUUUCCCUUGUGGAUUGCGGGUACUCGAGUGGCGAACGGGUGAGUAACACGUGAGUGAUCUGCCCCCAACUUGGGUAUAAGCCUGGGAAACUGGGUCUAAUUCCCGAUAGGACUGCAGGGUGGUGCCUGUGGUGGAAAACGAUUUUCUAGUGGUUGGGGAUGAGCUCGCGGCCUAUCAGCUUGUUGGUGGGGUAAUGGCCUACCAAGGCGGCGACGGGUAGCCGGCCUGGAGGGGUGGACGGCCACAUUGGGACUGAGAUACGGCCCAGACUCCUACGGGAGGCAGCAGUGGGGAAUAUUGCACAAUGGGCGGAAGCCUGAUGCAGCGACGCCGCGUGGGGGAUGACGGCCUUCGGGUUGUAAACUCCUUUCGACCGCGAGGAAGCCACCUGGUUGGAAGGGUGGUGACGGUAGUGGUAGAAGAAGCACCGGCUAACUACGUG